rnacentral:rRNA from 1 species
CCUACGGGGGGCUGCAGUGGGGAAUAUUGGACAAUGGGGGCAACCCUGAUCCAGCCAUGCCGCGUGUGUGAAGAAGGCCCUCGGGUUGUAAAGCACUUUCAGUGAGGAAGAACGCCUGGUGGUUAAUACCCAUCAGGAAAGACAUCACUCAUAGAAGAAGCACCGGCUAACUCCGUGCCAGCAGCCGCGGUAAUACGGAGGGUGCGAGCGUUAAUCGGAAUUACUGGGCGUAAAGCGCGCGUAGGUGGCUUGAUAAGCCGGUUGUGAAAGCCCCGGGCUCAACCUGGGAACGGCAUCCGGAACUGUCAAGCUAGAGUGCAGGAGAGGAAGGUAGAAUUCCCGGUGUAGCGGUGAAAUGCGUAGAGAUCGGGAGGAAUACCAGUGGCGAAGGCGGCCUUCUGGACUGACACUGACACUGAGGUGCGAAAGCGUGGGUAGCAAACAGGAUUAGAUACCCCUGUAGUC